rnacentral:lncRNA from 1 species
GCUUUCUUUGCGCUCAUGCCAGAACAUUAUCAUGGGAAGAGUCUUGAACAGGGCUCAGAAAAUGAUCUUCACACCUCAGUCCCUUUUAGAGACCCGUUGGAAGCCAGUGUUUCUAUCUAGGCAGCCACUGGAACAUUUACUUUUAUUAACUUUGCUGCGCAUGCUCCUUCCUCUGUUUAGCAUCCUCUCCUCCCGGCUCAGCCCUGGAACAUUCCCAGGUGGGGGAUGGCCUGGUCAGGAGUCAGGCUCAGGGCUUCGGCUCGACUCGUAAAUGUGGAAAUAACAAAAUGUGUCCCCUGAAGCUUUGCAGCGUUGUCAGGAAAUGGGCUGCUUGCAUGCUGCACUUCCAUGGAUCUGGAAAUUCUGCUGAGCUUGGGUCGACUCCAGAAAAAAGUUUAAAAGUGUUCAGGGAAGGGAGGAAUGAAAGCGGGCCAUUAACUGGAGCCACCACCCGCGCUCCUGCUGAGUCUGGGUCUUGGCCGGCUCCUUGGCAGGGAGCAAGGCUGGAGCGCGGCUUGUGGACUGUGGCGGCGGAGUUUGCUUUUCUAAGGAUCAGGGCUUUGCAGAAACUUUCCUUCCCACAUUUUUCAUAUCUCAGAAAUCUGCGUGGCACCCUUGGGAAGGAGUAGGGGCUAGGUACUGUUUCCGCCUGGAAGAAAACAAGCCACAGAGAGGUAGAAACUUAGAACUUCCAAGGGUGCGCCUCUUCUGCUUUGAGCACCAGUUGUGAAACCGAAGCCGGGAUUAAACUGUGAAAUGUCAGCGGAUGGUCUGGAGUCUUCUGGAGUAAAUUCCUGCACACUUUAGAUAACUAGAAGCAAAUAUGACAUGACCUUGAGGUCCACCACCAUUUUAGGAAGAGUGGGCACAUCUGAAUUCCAAUUCAACGCUCUCGUGAUAUAUUCUCAUGAAGAAAAAAGAAAUCCUGCUCAUGCAGAGGAGUUAAGUGUUCUCCUUUGUUGCCUUAACACCUGCCAUGUCCUCGGAUCUCACCUUCUAAUCCAAGCAGUGCAUCAAGGGUUUCUUCCUGGCCUAUUUGAGCUUGAACGCUCUCUGGGCUCAGGUCACAUGAAGACAUUAUCAUCACCUCAUUGUUCAAAGCACCUGAUCGUAGAACCUGGCGGGUGAACAAUUGCUGAAUGACAAACGCCGAAUUUUGAUGACUCCCAUGUUCUCAGCUUCCUUGGAAACUCAGUGAAGCCACAUGGCUAAACUCAGGCCAAUAAGAUGUCAACAGAAUUGGGUGCUACCUUAGAAAGUGUCUUUUAAAGGGAUUGUUCACACAGUCCCUUGCUCCUCCCUUCAUUCUCCUGCCUGGAAUGCAGAUUUGAUGUGUGGAGUCCUAGCAGCCAUUUUGGAUCAUGAGUACAUGCACCGCUUUCUAGGGAUAGGAGAGCAAGGAGAUGAAAGGAGCCACCAUGUUACCUCGGGAUGCCUACCUCCUGACUUUUUUCACAUGAAUGAAGAAUAAACUUCUAUCUUGUUUAAAUAAAC